UGGCGAUGAGGAGAUACAACUGUGUUGAAUUAUGGUGAUAACUUAAUACGCUAUUCUGAGCCAGCU
rnacentral:snoRNA from 14 species